rnacentral:rRNA from 2 species
UUAAGCGACUAAGCGUACACGGUGGAUGCCCUGGCAGUCAGAGGCGAUGAAGGACGUGCUAAUCUGCGAUAAGCGUCGGUGAGGUGAUAUGAACCGUUAUAACCGGCGAUUUCCGAAUGGGGAAACCCAGUGUGUUUCGACACACUAUCAUUAACUGAAUCCAUAGGUUAAUGAGGCGAACCGGGGGAACUGAAACAUCUAAGUACCCCGAGGAAAAGAAAUCAACCGAGAUUCCCCCAGUAGCGGCGAGCGAAAGGGGAGGAGCCCAGAGCCUGAAUCAGUGUGUGUGUUAGUGGAAGCGUCUGGAAAGGCGUGCGAUACAGGGUGACAGCCCCGUACACAAAAAUGCACAUAUUGUGAGCUCGAUGAGUAGGGCGGGACACGUGGUAUCCUGUCUGAAUAUGGGGGGACCAUCCUCCAAGGCUAAAUACUCCUGACUGACCGAUAGUGAACCAGUACCGUGAGGGAAAGGCGAAAAGAACCCCGGCGAGGGGAGUGAAAAAGAACCUGAAACCGUGUACGUACAAGCAGUGGGAGCCUCUUAAUGGGGUGACUGCGUACCUUUUGUAUAAUGGGUCAGCGACUUAUAUUCUGUAGCAAGGUUAACCGAAUAGGGGAGCCGAAGGGAAACCGAGUCUUAACUGGGCGUUAAGUUGCAGGGUAUAGACCCGAAACCCGGUGAUCUAGCCAUGGGCAGGUUGAAGGUUGGGUAACACUAACUGGAGGACCGAACCGACUAAUGUUGAAAAAUUAGCGGAUGACUUGUGGCUGGGGGUGAAAGGCCAAUCAAACCGGGAGAUAGCUGGUUCUCCCCGAAAGCUAUUUAGGUAGCGCCUCGUGAAUUCAUCUCCGGGGGUAGAGCACUGUUUCGGCAAGGGGGUCAUCCCGACUUACCAACCCGAUGCAAACUGCGAAUACCGGAGAAUGUUAUCACGGGAGACACACGGCGGGUGCUAACGUCCGUCGUGAAGAGGGAAACAACCCAGACCGCCAGCUAAGGUCCCAAAGUCAUGGUUAAGUGGGAAACGAUGUGGGAAGGCCCAGACAGCCAGGAUGUUGGCUUAGAAGCAGCCAUCAUUUAAAGAAAGCGUAAUAGCUCACUGGUCGAGUCGGCCUGCGCGGAAGAUGUAACGGGGCUAAACCAUGCACCGAAGCUGCGGCAGCGACACUAUGUGUUGUUGGGUAGGGGAGCGUUCUGUAAGCCUGUGAAGGUGGCCUGUGAGGGUUGCUGGAGGUAUCAGAAGUGCGAAUGCUGACAUAAGUAACGAUAAAGCGGGUGAAAAGCCCGCUCGCCGGAAGACCAAGGGUUCCUGUCCAACGUUAAUCGGGGCAGGGUGAGUCGACCCCUAAGGCGAGGCCGAAAGGCGUAGUCGAUGGGAAACAGGUUAAUAUUCCUGUACUUGGUGUUACUGCGAAGGGGGGACGGAGAAGGCUAUGUUGGCCGGGCGACGGUUGUCCCGGUUUAAGCGUGUAGGCUGGUUUUCCAGGCAAAUCCGGAAAACCAAGGCUGAGGCGUGAUGACGAGGCACUACGGUGCUGAAGCGACAAAUGCCCUGCUUCCAGGAAAAGCCUCUAAGCAUCAGGUAACAUCAAAUCGUACCCCAAACCGACACAGGUGGUCAGGUAGAGAAUACCAAGGCGCUUGAGAGAACUCGGGUGAAGGAACUAGGCAAAAUGGUGCCGUAACUUCGGGAGAAGGCACGCUGAUAUGUAGGUGAAGCGACUUGCUCGUGGAGCUGAAAUCAGUCGAAGAUACCAGCUGGCUGCAACUGUUUAUUAAAAACACAGCACUGUGCAAACACGAAAGUGGACGUAUACGGUGUGACGCCUGCCCGGUGCCGGAAGGUUAAUUGAUGGGGUUAGCGGUAACGCGAAGCUCUUGAUCGAAGCCCCGGUAAACGGCGGCCGUAACUAUAACGGUCCUAAGGUAGCGAAAUUCCUUGUCGGGUAAGUUCCGACCUGCACGAAUGGCGUAAUGAUGGCCAGGCUGUCUCCACCCGAGACUCAGUGAAAUUGAACUCGCUGUGAAGAUGCAGUGUACCCGCGGCAAGACGGAAAGACCCCGUGAACCUUUACUAUAGCUUGACACUGAACAUUGAGCCUUGAUGUGUAGGAUAGGUGGGAGGCUUUGAAGUGUGGACGCCAGUCUGCAUGGAGCCGACCUUGAAAUACCACCCUUUAAUGUUUGAUGUUCUAACGUUGGCCCGUAAUCCGGGUUGCGGACAGUGUCUGGUGGGUAGUUUGACUGGGGCGGUCUCCUCCUAAAGAGUAACGGAGGAGCACGAAGGUUGGCUAAUCCUGGUCGGACAUCAGGAGGUUAGUGCAAUGGCAUAAGCCAGCUUGACUGCGAGCGUGACGGCGCGAGCAGGUGCGAAAGCAGGUCAUAGUGAUCCGGUGGUUCUGAAUGGAAGGGCCAUCGCUCAACGGAUAAAAGGUACUCCGGGGAUAACAGGCUGAUACCGCCCAAGAGUUCAUAUCGACGGCGGUGUUUGGCACCUCGAUGUCGGCUCAUCACAUCCUGGGGCUGAAGUAGGUCCCAAGGGUAUGGCUGUUCGCCAUUUAAAGUGGUACGCGAGCUGGGUUUAGAACGUCGUGAGACAGUUCGGUCCCUAUCUGCCGUGGGCGCUGGAGAACUGAGGGGGGCUGCUCCUAGUACGAGAGGACCGGAGUGGACGCAUCACUGGUGUUCGGGUUGUCAUGCCAAUGGCACUGCCCGGUAGCUAAAUGCGGAAGAGAUAAGUGCUGAAAGCAUCUAAGCACGAAACUUGCCCCGAGAUGAGUUCUCCCUGACUCCUUGAGGGUCCUGAAGGAACGUUGAAGACGACGACGUUGAUAGGCCGGGUGUGUAAGCGCAGCGAUGCGUUGAGCUAACCGGUACUAAUGAACCGUGAGGCUUAACCUU